rnacentral:rRNA from 1 species
GGCCUUCGGGUUGUAAAGUUCUUUCGGUAGCGAGGAAGGCAUUUAGUUUAAUAGACUAGGUGAUUGACGUUAACUACAGAAGAAGCACCGGCUAACUCCGUGCCAGCAGCCGCGGUAAUACGGAGGGUGCGAGCGUUAAUCGGAAUAACUGGGCGUAAAGGGCACGCAGGCGGUGACUUAAGUGAGGUGUGAAAGCCCCGGGCUUAACCUGGGAAUUGCAUUUCAUACUGGGUCGCUAGAGUACUUUAGGGAGGGGUAGAAUUCCACGUGUAGCGGUGAAAUGCGUAGAGAUGUGGAGGAAUACCGAAGGCGAAGGCAGCCCCUUGGGAAUGUACUGACGCUCAUGUGCGAAAGCGUGGGGAGCAAACAGGAUUAGAUACCCUGGUAGUCCACGCUGUAAACGAUGUCGAUUUGGGGGUUGAGCUUUAAGCUUGGCGCCCGUAGCUAACGUGAUAAAUCGACCGCCUGGGGAGUACGGCCGCAAGGUUAAAACUCAAAUGAAUUGACGGGGGCCCGCACAAG